UACGUAGGGGGCAAGCGUUGUCCGGAUUUAUUGGGCGUAAAGAGCGUGUAGGCGGCCAGGUAGGUCUGCUGUGAAAACUCGAGGCUCAACCUCGAGAUGUCGGCGGAAACCAUCUGGCUAGAGUCCGGAAGAGGAGAGUGGAAUUCCUGGUGUAGCGGUGAAAUGCGCAGAUAUCAGGAAGAACACCCGUGGCGAAGGCGGCCCUCUGGGACGGUACUGACGCUGAGACGCGAAAGCGUGGGGAGCAAACAGG
rnacentral:rRNA from 1 species